AACGAACGCUGGCGGCAGGCCUAAAACAUGCAAGUCGAGCGGGCAUAGCAAUAUGUCAGCGGCGGACGGGUGAAUAACACGUGGGAACAUGCCCUUUGGUACGGAACAACUCAGGGAAACCUGAGCUAAUACCGUAUGUGCCGGUAACGGGAAAGAUUUAUCGCCAAAGGAUUGGCCCGCGUCCGAUUAGCUAGUUGGUGAGGUAACGGCUCACCAAGGCGACGAUCGGUAGCUGGUUUGAGAGAACGAUCAGCCACACUGGGACUGAGACACGGCCCAGACUCCUACGGGAGGCAGCAGUUGGGAAUCUUGGACAAUGGGGGAAACCCUGAUCCAGCCAUGCCGCGUGAGCGAUGAAGGCCUUGGUU
rnacentral:rRNA from 1 species